rnacentral:rRNA from 1 species
CCUACGGGAGGCUGCAGUGAGGAAUAUUGGUCAAUGGGCUUACGCCUGAACCAGCCAAGUCGCGUGAGGGCAGACUGCCCUAUGGGUUGUAAACCUCUUUUGUCAGGGAGCAAUUGGCGCUACGUGUCGCGUUAUCGAGAGUACCUGAAGACAAAGCAUCGGCUAACUCCGUGCCAGCAUCAGCGGUAAUACGGGGGAUGCGAGCGUUAUCCGGAUUUAUUGGUUUUAAAGGGUGCGUAGGCGGAAUGCCAAGUCAGCGGUAAAAUCGCGGGGCUCAACCUUGCUCCGCCGUUGAAACGGGCGUUCUUGGGUGGGCGAGAAGUAUGCGGAAUGCGGGGUGUAGCGGUG